rnacentral:tRNA from 1 species
AGAAAAUUAGUUAAAACAUAACAUUAACCUGUCAUGUUAAAAUUAUCCCCAAGAUAUUUUCUU